rnacentral:rRNA from 1 species
ACAAUGGAGAGUUUGAUCCUGGCUCAGGAUGAACGCUAGCGGGAGGCCUAACACAUGCAAGCCGAGCGGUAUAGAUUCUUCGGGAUCUAGAGAGCGGCGAACGGGUGCGGAACACGUGUGCAACCUGCCCUUAUCAGGGGGAUAGCCUUUCGAAAGGAAGAUUAACACCCCAUAAUAUAUAUUAAGGCAUCUUGAUAUAUUGAAAACUACGGUGGAUAAGGAUGGGCACGCGCAAGAUUAGCUAGUUGGAGAGGUAACGGCUCACCAAGGCGAUGAUCUUUAGGGGGCCUGAGAGGGUGAUCCCCCACACUGGUACUGAGACACGGACCAGACUCCUACGGGAGGCAGCAGUGAGGAAUAUUGGACAAUGGGUGCAAGCCUGAUCCAGCCAUCCCGCGUGCAGGAUGACGGCCCUAUGGGUUGUAAACUGCUUUUAUCUAGGAAUAAACCUACUUACGUGUAAGUAGUUGAAGGUACUAGAAGAAUAAGCACCGGCUAACUCCGUGCCAGCAGCCGCGGUAAUACGGAGGGUGCAAGCGUUAUCCGGAUUUAUUGGGUUUAAAGGGUCCGUAGGCGGAUUUGUAAGUCAGUGGUGAAAUCCGACAGCUUAACUGUCGAACUGCCAUUGAUACUGCAAGUCUUGAGUAAGAUUGAAGUGGCUGGAAUGAGUAGUGUAGCGGUGAAAUGCAUAGAUAUUACUCAGAACACCGAUUGCGAAGGCAUGUCACUAAGUCUUAACUGACGCUGAGGGACGAAAGCGUGGGGAGCGAACAGGAUUAGAUACCCUGGUAGUCCACGCCGUAAACGAUGAUUACUCGUUUUUGGGUUUUAGGAUUCAGAGACUAAGCGAAAGUGAUAAGUAAUCCACCUGGGGAGUACGUUCGCAAGAAUGAAACUCAAAGGAAUUGACGGGGGCCCGCACAAGCGGUGGAGCAUGUGGUUUAAUUCGAUGAUACGCGAGGAACCUUACCAAGACUUAAAUGGGAAAUGACAGCUUUAGAGAUAGAGUUUUCUUCGGACAUUUUUCAAGGUGCUGCAUGGUUGUCGUCAGCUCGUGCCGUGAGGUGUUAGGUUAAGUCCUGCAACGAGCGCAACCCCUGUCACUAGUUGCUAACAUUUAGUUGAGGACUCUAGUGAGACUGCCUACGCAAGUAGAGAGGAAGGUGGGGAUGACGUCAAAUCAUCACGGCCCUUACGUCUUGGGCCACACACGUGCUACAAUGGCCGGUACAGAGGGCAGCUACCAGGUGACUGGAUGCAAAUCUCGAAAGCCGGUCUCAGUUCGGAUUGGAGUCUGCAACUCGACUCUAUGAAGCUGGAAUCGCUAGUAAUCGCGCAUCAGCCAUGGCGCGGUGAAUACGUUCCCGGGCCUUGUACACACCGCCCGUCAAGCCAUGGAAGCUGGGGGUACCUGAAGUCGGUGACCGUAAAAGGAGCUGCCUAGGGUAAAACUAGUAACUAGGGCUAAGUCGUAACAAGGUAGCCGUACCGGAAGGUGCGGCUGGAACAUCUCAUUUUAGA